rnacentral:misc_RNA from 1 species
GAACGGUCGGCAGGCAAUCCGCGUCGGUUGUUGUGAGGUGGGAUGGUGCCUUAGAGGCUGGUUCUUGUGUUGCCUACCCCUUCAAGGGAAGCAGGCCACUUGCAGUUAGCCUCCAUCCGGCGCCUUCCAAUUGGCGCAGGAGGACAACGAAGCGCACCCCGUGCUCCGUCGAGCCUUCGUCGGUCGCGUGGCGCACGGGGAAGUGCAAUGCUCUUGGACCCAGCGCAUGCCGUGGACGAGGACUCAUGUCCCAGUCCUAAGA